rnacentral:rRNA from 1 species
UGAGGAAUCUUGCGCAAUGGGGGAAACCCUGACGCAGCAACGCCGCGUGAGUGAGGAAGGUCUUCGGGUCGUAAAGCUCUGUCAGGCGGGAAGAAAUGCAUGGAGGUGAACAGCCGCCAUGCUUGACGGUACCGCCAGAGGAAGCACCGGCUAACUCCGUGCCUGCAGCCGCGGUAAUACGGGGGGUGCAAGCGUUGUCUGGGAUCAUUGGGCGUAAAGAGCGCGUAGGCGGCUUUGUGAGUCAGAUGUGA